AAACAAGAGUUGGAAACCCCCGACUCCGUGCGCGCAAACUUCAGUACUAUCUUCGCUAAUGCAAGUUGUGCAGGAUCCUAUCUCAGCCAUCUCCUGAAAUAUGGCCGACCUGUGGGCACGGAUCUGGGCUAAGAAAGCGGCCCUUCUGCGCGACUUGGACCCUCAAUAUAUGAUGAACGAACUUCUACAACAUGGCGUUUUGGACGACGACGAACACGACAAGGUGAAAAGGGGAUGUAAAACCAGGCGAGAAAGAGCAGAGGCCCUGCUAGACAUUCUGAAAGGAAAAGGACCAGAGGAGUUAAAAGGUUUCGUGCACCAGCUGGAUAGGUUCUAUCACCACCUGGCAGA